rnacentral:rRNA from 1 species
AGUGGAUGGGGAGCAACCUAGUUGUGCGUGUGUAAAGGUAGUGCCAAGAAAAGCGGUGAUCAUGAUGAAAAUCAAUUCCCGGUACCCGAAACCGACACAGGUGGGCAAGUAGAGAAUACUAAGGGGCGCGAGGUAACUCUCUCCAAGGAACUCGGCAAAAUGACCCCGUAACUUAGGGAGAAGGGGUGCCACCGAGAGGUGGUCGCAGUGAAGAGGCCCAGGCGACUGUUUAGCAAAAACAUAGGUCUCUGCAAACUCGAAAGAGGAGGUAUAGGGGCUGACGCCUGCCCAGUGCCGGAAGGUUAAAGAAGUUGGUCAGUCUUAGGAUAAAGCUAGCGACUGAAGCCCCGGUGGACGGCGGCCGUAACUAUAACGGUCCUAAGGUAGCGAAAUUCCUUGUCGGGUAAGUUCCGACCCGCACGAAAGGCGUAACGAUCUGGGCGCUGUCUCGGAGAGAGGCUCGGCGAAAUAGGAUUGUCUGUGAAGAUACGGACUACCUGCAUUUGGACAGAAAGACCCUAUGAAGCUUUACUAUAGCUUGGAAUUGUGUUCGGGCUUCCUGUGCGCAGGAUAGGUGGGAGGCGAAGAAGGUAUUCUUGUGGGGAUACUGGAGCCAACGGUGAGAUACCACUCUCAGGAGGCUAGAAUUCUAACUUAAUUAAGGACAGUUUCAGGUGGGUAGUUUGACUGGGGCGGUCGCCUCCAAAAAGGUAACGGAGGCGUACAAAGGUUCCCUCAGACUGGUUGGAAAUCAGUCGCAGAGUGCAAAGGCAGAAGGGAGCUUGACUGCGAGAUGUACAGUUCGAGCAGGGUGGAAACACGGUCUUAGUGAUCCGACGGUGCUGUGUGGAAGGGCCGUCGCUCAACGGAUAAAAGUUACUCUAGGAUAACAGGCUGAUCUCCCCCAAGAGUUCACAUCGACGGGGAGGUUUGGCACCUCGAUGUCGGCUCAUCGCAACCUGGGGCGGAAGUACGUCCCAAGGGUUGGGCUGUUCGCCCAUUAAAGCGGUACGUGAGCUGGGUUCAGAACGUCGUGAGACAGUUCGGUCCAUAUCCGAUGUAGGCGUGAGAAUAUUGAGAGGAGCCUUCCUUAGUACGAGAGGACCGGGAAGGACGCACCGCUGGUGUACCUGUUAUGAUGCCAAUUGUAAACGCAGGGUAGCCAAGUGCGGAGAGGAUAACCGCUGAAAGCAUCUAAGUGGGAAGCCCACCUCAAGAUGAGUAUUCUGGUGUAAGGUCACGGGAAGACGACCCGUAAAUAGGCACGAGGUGGAAGUGCAGAGAUGUAUGAAGCCGAAGUGUACUAAUAGACCGUCGGC